AUUGAACGCUGGCGGCAUGCUUUACACAUGCAAGUCGAACGGCAGCGCGGGCUUCGGCCUGGCGGCGAGUGGCGAACGGGUGAGUAAUACAUCGGAACGUGCCCAGUAGUGGGGGAUAGCUCGGCGAAAGCCGGAUUAAUACCGCAUACGACCUGAGGGUGAAAGCGGGGAUCUUCGGACCUCGCGCUAUUGGAGCGGUCGAUGGCAGAUUAGCUAGUUGGUGGGGUAAAGGCCUACCAAGGCGACGAUCUGUAGCUGGUCUGAGAGGACGACCAGCCACACUGGGACUGAGACACGGCCCAGACUCCUACGGGAGGCAGCAGUGGGGAAUUUUGGACAAUGGGCGAAAGCCUGAUCCAGCAAUGCCGCGUGUGUGAUGAAGGCCUUCGGGUUGUAAAGCACUUUUGGCGGGAACGAAAAGGACUGUGCCAAUACCACGGUUCGAUGACGGUACCCGCAGAAUAAGCACCGGCUAACUACGUG
rnacentral:rRNA from 1 species